AUUUCAGGUUAUUUUAUUUGUCCUCGCAGCCUGCCUUUUGGUUCAAUCUUUCGGAUGAUGGCAUCAUAUCCGAGGACGAGUUUUCUUGCAAGUGGCAGCACUCUGGAGUAGACAUGACGCCAUUUUUCGAUCUACUAGAUGGAUCUGAUAAUGACAGAAAAAUCAGCCAUACCAACUACCAGGACUUUCUUCAACAGUUCGACUUGAAUGGGAACGGCAGGAUUAGCUCUGAGGAGUUCGUCAAAAGCUGGAUCGUCAUGAUUCUUGAUAACGAUAUUACCAUACAGAAUUUGCCAGCAGAGCCCGAUUUCUCGAAUUUCAUAAGCACUACGGAUCCACCAAUUGCCGAAUGAUGACAGACUGCCUAUGUAACUACGAAAGCCAUGAUACAACGUCCGCUUUCCGUAACCUUAAUAAAGUGAAAUGUAAGCACGCAUAGUUAAAUGCUUUGAUCUGUUUUUACAUGUACCUGAUUUUCGUUUGUACAAACAUGUACCUUCCCAAGGAAAAGACUGUAUAAUUUCAUUAAAUAUAUUGUUUUCAGCACUUUGUUUCAGAAAUAAUCAUUUCUGUACAAGAAUCGUUAAAAUGCAAGUAUCAAUAUGGAAAUAUUUUUCUAUUGAAUUUCUUGAUCUACUGUCAGUUUUCUCUUUAUUAUCUUGACCCACUGCAUGACUUUAAAGUCGUCUUAGGCCCAUGAAAUGAAAGCUUAAAUGUUUCAAAUGGUAAUGCUUUUUUUUUUUUCGUUUCCUUUAAUUUUCAUUUAUUUGGUGUGUAUUCAAAUAAAUUUAAACUUGCUAAAUCAUUUUCACAUUUUCAUGACUGUGUACAGUGUAAAUAUACCAUCAGCCGUUUCGACAGCUGUACUCUUUUUGUCAAUGGUUUGUGUAAUAAAUGUCCAAUCCAACAGAUUCGUCGAACAUUUUAUA